rnacentral:lncRNA from 1 species
CUUUGUACUUUUCUAGAAGAGUAUUUGUAUCAGUUAAAAAUCUACAGAAGUGUAAUACACGCUUUUUGUGUAUUGUCACUCUUUUCAACGGUGCUGGCUCAAAUGACUGAAAGCAUCUCAUUCUUUUUAUUGUAAUACCUGUUAAAGUUUUGAAUUAACUAUCUAAAAGACAUCUUGGUAUACAUAAAGGAUCAAUAUAAUUCAGAAGUCUUUAUUUGAAGGACUUACACAAUUAUAGGUGUAGCUUUCUUCUGAAACUACUGUAGUAGUAAAAUCUGAGCUUCACAAAUUAAGAAUACUGUGCUCAUUGUUACAUUGUUACAAACGUAAGAAAGCUCCCUUAGAUGUUAGACUAAAUUAAGGCUGUACUUUAAUAAACUGGCAUAAAGCAUGCAGUUAAUCAUCAAGAGCCAUGUGCCUUCUGGACACAGCAUAAGCUAAGAGUCAGAUUUAAAAUAAAGGGUGUGCCCCAGAAAUGCUUUUUGUUAGCUCUAUCCAGUUUAAUCAAUCAACCCUUGUGUUGGAGUAAUGGUGUUUAAGAAGCUGACGAGCCCCAGGAGUGCCUUAUCUUCGGUGAAGUGUAGUGAGCUCUCCUGGGACAGCUACUCUGCAUGCAGGCAGUGCAAGCCGGAGGCGGAGCGAGCUGCGGGCAUAGCCGAAGGGCAGGGUGUCUGCACAGCCCAAUCACCUCCUCUCUCGGCCUGGAAAUCACAGCUCCUUUCUGAACUAUUUGCUGAAAGCGCCCAGACAUGGAGAGGUGUUUGACUUACGCAGAGUGAAGGCCCUGAACCUGAUUUAACCAGAGAAUGAGAAUUGGCAAAGCCCAAUGCCUGUAAGCAAUGCUAGUCUUAAGUUAUUUGCCAUAGGGUAUUGUAUGGGCUUCCCUGCAAUUACAUAUUUUCUAAUCCAUUUUUAGCACAACCCCUGAAACAACUGUGUAUAGAAGAUUUAAGAAAGCUUCAUGCAGUAUUUCAGGCAAGGCAGUGAGUAUCUUGCUUUCUCAUAACAUCUUGGAAAUCUUCAAAGUCCCUCAAAUAACUUUUCUCCUGUUUCGGACACAUAAGACUUCUGCUGGUUCUGAAUAAAAAUUCAGGAUAUUGUAGUAAGUUUUCA